UACGUAGGGGGCUAGCGUUGUCCGGAAUCAUUGGGCGUAAAGCGCGUGUAGGCGGUCCGGUAAGUCCGCUGUGAAAGUCGAGGGCUCAACCCUCGAAUGCCGGUGGAUACUGUCGGGCUUGAGUACGGGAGAGGCGAGUGGAAUUCCUGGUGUAGCGAUGAAAUGCGCAGAUAUCGGGAGGAACACCAAUGGCGAAGGCAGCUCGCUGGGACGGUACUGACGCUGAGACGCGAAAGCGUGGGGAGCAAACAGG
rnacentral:rRNA from 1 species